rnacentral:tRNA from 1 species
GCGGCCAUCGUAUAGUGGCAGUACGUGAGCUUCCCAAGCUCUUGGCGCGGGUUCGAUUCCCGCUGGCCGCU